UCAACCUCCAUGUCUUGCAUGUCUCAGACUAUCCUUGCAACUCAUAUAUUCAACUUGAUCUGGUAUCCUAUCCAAUGUUUCAGCACCAGAUCACUUCUUCCUCUUUUACCUCUUGUUUUUUUUCAUCCAAGUUAUCUUCACAAAAACCAAGAGUGGGAAUGAUGGAUACAUUUUGUAGCCACCAUCUACCCUUGAGAACACUCCUCCCUAAAUUAGUUUCCCUCCUAAAAAAUCCUAAUGUUUUCCUUCUCUGGUUUUGAUCACAAAACUACUUCUAGUUUUAUUAAAACUUUUCAAGAUAUUUCUUCAAAGAAAACAAAGAACUGAAAUGGGUUUUCUUUCUCAUCCCAUUACUACCAAGUACUGAUUUCUAAAACAUUAUUUUCUAUCUUGCCUUCUUUUUAACAAAAGGCUUGUUUAUGGUACCUACACCAUUUCUUGUUUUCCUCUUGAUUAUUUUACAUUUUAGAAAAACUCUACUUUACUUGAGAGAGUAAGUAGAAUAUUUUGAACUUCCAUGUUCCAACUAGUUUCCUCUCAACAUUUUCAAAUUCCAUUCCACUUGAGUUCAUUCUCAAUUGUCCCUACACAAUUGAGGUGUUCCAUAUACCUUUGAAAUAAAUCCUUCUCAAAUGACAACUCUUGCACACCUUGUGUUCAUCUACCACAACCCAUUCCUCUAUGGCAUACCACCUUCACCACCACCACCUUCCUCUCACAUUGACUUUCUUUGCCAACCUUGUUACAAGCUUGCCAUGCUUAUUAUCCUACCACUCUUUCAUAUGAGGACUUGGCUCAAGAUAUGAGCCGGCCACCCCCAUGCAAUAUUGCAUGAGGUCACAUCAUCCCUCUCUCUUUUUCAUCUUGUGUUGAGUUGUUCAAGUCUAAAAUCUUGUGGAGGUCAUCUCCAAGAUGGCAUGCACAUGAAACCUUGUACAUCAACAUCACCAUUAUCUUCUUGGCACAAAGCCAUCAUGCAACAAAUACCAUCAUGGUAUAUUUUACCAUCACAAUCUUCCUCCAUCUCUAUAUCUCUCACAUUGUUCACUUGUGUUUGGCAAGAAUGGAGCCGGCCAAAAUGUGUAUGCAUGGCAAUUUCGGCCAGCCAUGCCUCUCCAUUUUUCUUCCUCUACAAGACUUGCCUCCCACCUAACCCAAUCACUAAAUGGGCAGCCACCCACCUUAGCCAAUCAAAAAAAGGAGGCAGCCACCAUCCUCCCUCUAUUUAAAGAGCUUGGCCGGCCACUCCCUCCUCCUUUGCCUCAUUUCUUUUCACUUCCCACUCCUUUCUUCACUCCCACACACUCUCCUCCUCCCCUCCCCACGAAAUAUUGCUCCCCCAAGGCUUCAUGGCCGGCCAUGGCCAUGGAAAGAGCUCCAAGAUGAAGUCCCCUCCUCCCUCAAGCUCCUCCUCACCAUGAGAGCCUCCCUCUCCUUCUUCUCCCCAACCCUAGAUGGUUUUCUCUCCUCUUCUUCUUCCUCCCUUGCUAAGAUUGGAUCUUGAUGCAGGUGCAUGUUGGUCCAAGCAUGGAGAAGCUUGAGCUAUCCUCAGAUCUGAAGUUCUUGAGCAAAAUCCAAAUCGAGUGGUUCAAAGUUCUGCAGAUAGGUAUUGAAAAUAUCUACAACUUGGCAUUGGUCUCAUCCUCAAAUUCGUUACGGAUUUUGCAUGAUCAAUAUCUGGUCAGAUCUGACUUUGUCGAAUUAAACCAGGAGCUUGGGGAAGAAUUUUUGAAUGAAACCAACUGGGGGAUACUUAGUUGUGCCAUGGUGAUACCUAGAGAGGCAAUUGCUAAGUCGUGGCACUCUCAUACCUUUAAUAGAUGCGAACAAUUUCGGAGGAGAAGAAGAAGAAGUGGAAUCAGACAAGGAUUUUAUUUGUACUGUGGGAAUUCUUAUUUGAUGGAGUUGAAGAAGUCCAGGGACAAAUAAGCCAAGGCAAGC